UGCACCAGCAGUGAGACAUAGAGGUAGCUACCGUAUGUGCUGGAGGGGCAGCUCCCUGGCACGGGAGGACUUUGUGCGUGUGCUGGCUUGUACAAACCAAGCUAGUCCUGGCCUAAGCUGUUGCAAGAGGUGUGAGUAGUCCAGGCCUGUGUCUAGAGAUGGGACAUUUCUCUGAAGACUCUGAAGCAUCAUCAUUUCAGCUGCUUCUUCCCAACUCACACAGCAGUCCCUUCUGGUGAAAAAUGGUCUUUGGUGAGGUCAUCUGCAGAGCAAGGAAGAGGAUGGCACAAUGAUGACAAGAAAAAGGAAAGAAUGCUUGUACCAAUUUUCAGAAACCAAACAGAGGCAAAACUUCCGGAGGCCAGAAUGAUUUGCUAGACACUUAUUUCUGCUAAAGGCCAAGGAUGAAGUGAAACAACAAGGUUUCAUCACUGUGUUAGUGGAAACUGAAUAGAUUGGGUGGAAUCUGACCCUGCGGAAGUCAAGGAGCAUUUUCUUAUUGAUAUCAGUGGUCAUCACCAUAGACAUCAUCACUGCAUCACCAUAUCACUUGUGUUUUCCUGCGGCAGUACAAACUUCCUUCAUCCUUGUCCUCAUCCCACUUUUUUUCUGCAACAAAACAUUGUUACAUUGUUUACCUGUGAAGAAUUCCUUGGAUACAUAAAAGCAUAGAUGAAUAUUGUAAAUCUAGAAGCAAGUCUCAUAUCUGACUAUUCCCAAAUUUAGAAUCACCUCAGGUUCAGACAGCAUUCUUCGAGGCUCUUCAAAUUACCAAAAAGAGCUGAACAACUUUUCAAGAAAUUGUUUUUUGAGUGUAGGGUAAGAUUAUGAUUAUAUGCACUAUAAAAAGUAUAUCAUAAAGGAAUGCUGUUAUUUAACACAGAGGUCAGUGUUCAUCAUGCAAACCAACACACAGGAAAAAUAAACAAAAUCAGUUAACAGAACAGGCACUACUACAGUUCAGAUACUGGCCUUAGGAUAUGUUUAUGCAAAUCCAGUUUCUUCAGCAGUAUUUGUUUGAAUGGAUCUGAGGCAAAAAUGAUUUGGAAAAUAGGAUGCUUUUCACUGAAAACUUUUCAUUUGUGGUGAAAAACAAAAUAUUUCAAUUUAAAGCAAAAGAGUUGAUUUUGAACUGUUGCCGUCAUGAGUCACCAGAAGUAGUCUCAUGUGUCUUGACUGUGUUCUCUCAGGGCCAAACUCCUUAACGGCUCUACCUCACCCAUAAUGUGCUGUGACCUCAGUGCAAGAAAUUUGGAAAUCUUUGGUUUGAUACUUCAGGGCAACUGGCUCCACUGAAAAAUAGAGACAUGACGUAUCUAACAGCAUAUGCCAAAUCAAAAUAUUUUGAGUGCUGUGUAUUCAGUUCUUUGUUGAAAAAUCAAUAUUUCUUCUAGAGAACACUGUUUUGAUGGAAAACUUUCAAUUAGACCUCUUCUGAGGAUAAAAUUUCUCUUAAGACAUCUAAUUCUAGAAUCCAGCUAAAUAACUAAAGCUUUAGCUGAAGAAAAUACUUUGCAUCACUGAAAAACCCUCCAGGCAAGUAUUAGAUUAGCCCUAACAGAUUGUGAGAAGCUUUCCUGCCUCCUUCAGAACAAUGAAAUGCAAAACUUUUGAAGACAGUAAGCCAGAGGCAGACAGAAGAACCCUGAGCCUAACCUAGUAGAUAUUAUGUAAACAAAUGUCAAGGAAAAAUAUGUCAUCUAAGCAGGAAUAAUGUUGGCGAAGGAUAGCCUCCCAAGUACUAGAAACGGGUGGCUUCAGAGUAUUUUCAGCUUUUAUUGUUACAGUUUCUCUCCUCUAGCGCAUGUUCAAGGUCCUUGAGGAUCCUUCCCUUUCCACAUGAGCAGAAACAUUAUUUGAAGAUAGUUUUAUCUUUUAUUCAGGCUUUUCUAGUAGUCCACUUGCAAGGGACUAAAAUCAGUUGAGAUUAGAAGAUACACAAGGAACCAGAUUCUCACUAACCUCUUAUAUCCUUCCAUCACCCUUUACUCCAAGAAGAUGGUAGACAGGUCAAAAUAUCAGUUUCAAAGGCUUUUGCCAAUGUUACACUUCAAAAUAAUUCACUUCAGGUUCUAAAACUGCACAGCGAUAUGCAAACCAAUUUCCCAAUCCCUUAUCAAGUCAGCUAGGCCUUGCAUGAAAAUACUAAGAAAUUAAAGGAGGGAAAAAAGAGCAGGAAUAUAUUCAGGUGGCUGGAAAAAACAUCAGAGCAUCCUAGUGCACAGAACUUUGGUUUAUCUGAACCUGAAAAAUUUGCAACAUAUGACAGAGUAAUUAAUUAAACAGUGUGUUAAAGCUCAAUUUAACUCUCCACUGCGAAGGAGCCAGCUGGGAUGGAAAAAAUAACCUUAAAAAGAUUAUCAGGUUUUUCAUCAUGUUUAGAAACUCUGCUAACCUACUAUGUAACUGCCAGUCAUUUCAGAAACAACCAGAAAGGGUUCAACCUGCAGAACAUCCCCAGAGAUGGUUAAUAAAAGAAUGUGUGUCCAGUUUUAUUUGAAAAAAAGAAAGAAAAGGAAAAAGACUCCAAUUUUUGUUCAUCCUGGCACUUGGAAGACUGCUGGAAAUGACAAGACUGAAAGUUGAUUAGUUCAGAAGAUAAAGAAUUUCAGUUACUGUUUUAAUCUCAUCCUUUCUUUCUGGCACUUACUAAACUCCAGUGUCUAACGAAUUCUCUGGAAAAAGAGUGAUAUAGAACAACAAAGAGAAAAGAACAAAGAAUUAUUUUUAUUUGAAGAUGUCACCCUCUCUUCAGUUAUGGUAUAAAAGCCCAAUGUGCAGCUCUCAGACAUACCUUUUCACCCAACAGAGUUCUUCAGCAAUAUCAGGCAGGACUAAAACUGGUAUUCUUGAUACAUUUGAGAUGAAAAGUAAGCUUAAAAGAAGUAUUUCAAAAUUUUUUGUAAUACUAAAAAGGGGAGCAUAAAGCCCAAUAUUUUUAACCCUUACCCAUAAGCAGCCUUAGGAGGAUAAAAUUUUAAUUCUUACAGCAGUAAAUGUGUGUAAGAGAGCAUUUUGGAGGACUAACAUUUCAAAUCUGAGAUGUCCUGGCGAGAAAGCUGCACAGUUUUAUGUGCUGACACAGGCAACAGAAAACAUUACACAAAACUCAUCUCAGGUUUCCCAGAGGAAAAUGAGGCCAGAGGGGAGAGAACCUGACAGAUGCUUCUCUUUGGCCAAACUAAAGGGCUUCUUCCUUGGUGACUGGACUGCCAGUCCCGCUUCUGAGCACACCGGGUCUGCCCUAGAUGAUGGAGCACUAAACAUGCUACAGAAGAGAAACAGAGGAAACAGGUUGCCCACACUCCCUUCGAUAAAUUGCAGCAGCCGAGCCCUAUGCCAGACUCUAAAAGCCUCUGUUAGGACAAUGCUGGUGACCCUCCUGGAGUUACAGUUUUCAGAGUUAAGAUGAUGAAGCUGUUUGUUCUGCUUUCCGCUUUAUCGCUUACGUAUACUCUGGAGCCAAGGACUUCUCAAUGUACUUUUAAGUAAAGCCAUUCUUUUGGUAUACUUGCACAGCCAUGCAGAUAUCAAUUUGAUGUUCUUAGGGUUGCUACACGUCUUAGGAUUUCCUGUAUUGCAUUUUCAAAUCCUACGUCUCUCAUUUAAUGUACACAGGAUUUUAGUGUGACUGUUUUCUCGUAGCUCAACUGCUGUCGUCUCCUCUGCCAUGAUCCUCACAGUUUUCUCUGGUUAUUUGAAACUGCAGCUUCAGUGACUGAAGGGUCAGAAGAGGCUGCAAGGAGCAGGGGAAUGAAGAGGUGCUCACGGUGUCCCCACAAAGAGCCCCACUGUCACUGCCUACUUAGUCUGCAAUGCAGGAAGAAGCAGAGCCAGAAGUUACAGGAAGGCUUCAUCUACUUGUACCUUCUCCAUCCAAGGAUGAUACUAUAUUGGUGUAAGAGCGUUGAGUUUUUGGCUUAACCUAAAGCCUUCUUCAGCUGGCACAGGCAAUCUUACUUCCAUAGAAGACUACACCAGUUGUGAGCAUAUCAAAGGGAGUGUCUUACUCCCCUCACAUGUCCAGGCCUAGUUCAUCAUCUGCUACUGCGGAUUUCCAGGUAAUAGCUAUAUUGACUUCGUUCAACUAUGAUUAUGCACCAGAUCCCAAAAGGACGACUUUACAGUUGAAAAGCUCGUAAUCAUACUUACUUAUAUUAUUUCCCGUGUUGGCAAAUGACAGCCAUUCCUUUUAAUUAAACCUAUAUUUAUAUUUAUUAUUUUUAUGAGAUCACAAUGUGCUGAAUGCUCUCUACUUAUGAUGGAAGGAAGAGUCCAUAAUUUCAUAAAGGAAUUAAUUGUUAAAAAUACCAAUAAACAGUUGGCAAUUUUUAGAGUCUGGGCAUCUAGAUGAUUGAAGUUUCUAGAGAAAGACCACUGUCCUCAUUAAAAAUAUUGCCAAGUUUUGCUGAAUCAUCCUCACACUUCACUUUAGCCCUGUCCUGAAACACCACUUCUGCAAUUAAUCUUUUAAAGCUUAAGUAGCCAAUGGAAAUUUCCUAUAGCUGCAAAACCCAGUACCAUAUUAGUAGCAAUCUUUAGAAACUAUUGCAAGCAAUCAAAUGGGGUGCCCUUUGGUGAUGGGCUAACAAGGAUCUAAUUUUGUUAUCAUAGUAACUGCAUUUGAGUUUGACAUUUCCUGGAUUCUAGAGCAGAGGUGUUGCCAGAGGUUUGUCUAGAAACCUAGAUGCCCACCUAGAGACUGCUGUAGUUUGGAGCAGAGGCAGCUAACAUGUGGCUCUUGAGCUUCAUGCAGCUUGUUAGUAGUUCAAAUGGGGUCAAGUCAUGAGAUCAGCAGGGACUGCUGGGUAAACUAAAUCCCAGCUGUCAGAGGAAGCGAAGCAGCAGCAACCACUUAUUUCAACAUCAAUGGAUUACUUUCAGGCUCAGGUGCACAGUCAACAGAAUCCCAUCCCAGAAUGGAGUAGGAACCGAUUUUAUUUCUUUCUUGUGAAUUGCUCCCAGAGUUCUUCCUACAAACAGGCUUCUGGAGUAUGUAAUAUGUGUUUAAACCCAUGUCUUAAACCUAUGAAAGUAUUCUAUGAAAGCCCUAAGGGCAAUAUUCCAAAAUGAUGGUCACUCGUUGGCUACCGUUAGCCACCUGCUAGAAUACAACACAAAAUCUUUGAAACUGGUUUCACCAGUUCUUUUAUAAGGGAUCUCACACAAGUGAUCACCCGAAAAGAUAGUCAGCAUCCACCAGAUUUGUGCCAAAUGCGUACUUCUGGGUAGCAAUACAAAAGUUGUUUGUUUUUUUUUUUUUUUUGUUAACCUAGUUGUUGCCCUCACUGAUUGCAAUAGUAGUCAAUGACUAACUGGACAUAAGCUUGCCAGAGUAUCAGAAAAGGUUUUUGGCUCAUAAGCCACUUUGCUUCAAUGAGGUGUACUGUAUCCAGAUUCAGUGUUCUCUUCAAGCAAUGUAGGACUUGCCUGUUGCUGUCUCUACCACAUCUUUUGCUAUAGCUCCCCGACACAAGUGCAGCUCCCUGAAGCAGGUAUACCUAUCCACAGUUAGUAUGUCUAUUUUCACCAAUCUGUACUUGUAGGCUUAAUAUGCUCCAAUAGAUGUUCCUGUUAGCUCUUUCAUAUAUAAAGAUCCAUAGGGCUCUGCAAAUGCUGUUGGGUUGCAUUACGAAUGCAUUAGGCCUGGAAGCUCAUGUCUGGAACAUGGAGUGACAUGACACAAGGAAGUAAAGGUGGAGGGACAUCACAGAAGAAAGUGAGAACCCUCAGUCUCUUAUGUUCAUUACUGCACUCAUUGCAAGUGCUGUAGUUCCUGUUCUUUAUUUGCUUCUUUCUCUGCUGAGACUUGUCAGUUACCUUAACCCAAUCUAAAAAAGGGUUACUAGUAAAGGGGCUGAAUGCAUUUUCCUGCCGGGUCUCCAGCUGUGUAUUCAAACCCUUUUACUUGUGCUUGCAUCAGCAAUCAUUGGGGAGAAGGUGACAAGAGCAGCAAAGUAGCACUUCAGGAGCCUCUGGGUAUGAACAAGAUGGCCUGACAUGUGACAGAGCCAAUGCUCUAAACUGUCAGAACUGUGACAGUACUGUCUGGAAAACUGUCUCUUUCCAGUGACAGUAUUUGAACAAUUGUUCAUGCUGCAGAGGAGUGACACCCACACAAAAAGUCCCAAUAGCAGUGUACGUGGCUCCUGCGCAGUUUACAGAAGUGCACAGCUAUGCCAGGUUUGUUGCAAGAAGGACAAGGCCUUUGGACAGCUGUUAGUGUGUCAAACCACUACAGAAAAACUACGGUUCCAGAGAGUCCAAUCUAAGUAAGCUACUGGCAAGAAGUCACAACAUUCAGUUAACCAUGGUUAACUUUUCUCUGACACAAUGUCUCUGACGUAUUAUUAGGACAGCCCAAGUGAGGAUAAACCCUCGUAACUGCUUAUUCUGGCAGGGCUCUCUUUAUAGUAGCCUUUUUAGGAGAUGCUGAAUGGUAUCUAGAAAAAAAAAUUUCUAAUGGGGAGAUUAUGUAGGACUAGGAACUACUACUCAGAGAAAACAUUUUUUAUAUUAAACAUAUGUAUACACAUAUGUGCAUGCACACAUAUAUACACAUAUAUCAUGUGUGUGUGUAUAAAUACAUAAAUCAGCAGUUCCUGGAGUUUGAACCCCUGCUUUCUCUGAAGAAAGAGCUGGAAAGAGAUUUGUCACAUGCCUGCUUGCAUUGACAGGAUGGUUGAGCAACCCAUCCUGUCUUAUAAAAGGACUGGGGAGUUUGUCUAUUCUACACAAGAAACUUUUAAAUUGAAAAACUAGGCCAUGAAUGCCUGAAGGAACUACUGAGAGCUACAAGAGGAACCCCCUAGGAAUAUGGCUUCCUUUCCAAAGAUUCCUUUAGAACAGAGUCUAGCAGUGUUUGUGUCCCCUAAAUGCCAAGUGUCCUUGAAAGGUGAAGACAUUAAUUUUAUCUUGUCAGUGAAGUCUUUCUUUGGUCCAGAGAAAGAGCUACAGGGCCCUUCUGGUUAACACCAAGAAGCUAAUUAGAUUUGCUUCUAACUUAAUGAAAUCCUGAGCAAAGUCAUUAAGGAUUUUGAUGACAAUAAGUGACUUAGAAAGAUGCUAAUGAGAUUCCACAGGGACCUACUAUGCAACUGAAGCUGUAAGAUUUAUUCCAUGGGUGUCCUGGAAAUAGAAAGCAUAUAUAUGGUGGCUCUUAAAUGAGAGCCUGCAAGCUUGACAUUUCUAUACAAGGCCUUUUCACGGAAGUGGUCCAACAUUGUUUGGAGAACUAUGUCAGUCUAAUAGUCUGACAAGGAAUUUGCUUCAGGAUGCUAAAGAAGGGCUAGCAGAUAGAAUGACUCAGAGUCAUUUGUUUAUUAAUUUUCCUACACAGUUCAUUUCGGCAAUUUGCCAAUUAGCUGCUUUUUAAUUCCUACAGUGCUGCAGCAAUGACAUUCAGCAGUGUAAGAUGCAGAUUGAUCUAAAAGGGAUCUUUUAUAUUUUAAUAGAAAAGGGCACAUGCAUUUUCCUUUCUAUGCAAAAUUUUCACAAAAUAAAACACCAGGCCACUCGUGAAUGUCCUUUCCAUAAGAAAGCAGCCCUCCCCCUGCCCCCCACGACACACGGCAACAUAGUUCACUCAAGAAUCGUAUUGACAUAAAGUCCCUUUCUAAAGGUUGGCCGUUUCUUCAUGAUCUUCUCACAGUGGCUUUCUAGCAAUGAAACUUCUCUCAGAAAUGAGAAUUCACACAUGAAAAGGUUUUCAGGAUUAGGGCUAAAUUAAUUAUUGUAAUGUACAACAAAACUUUCAUCAGAGUAAUUCAAGGCCAAUGCAAAGGUAGGUAAAUUACUAUUAUGUGCCAAGAAGUUCUGUUUCUUCUAAGUCACUGCCAGAAGAAGGAACAAGGUUCUACCAUUUCUGUUCCUGUAUACUUAUAUAACUUUAGCAUCUACCAGCUCCUAAUCGUAAAUCAGGUCUUCAUACUGAGCAGAAUCGAAACUCUAGUCCCAAGUUAGGUAUUUUGAUACUGUUGGCUUUUGUCAUCCAGUUAAAUUGCCUUUGCCUCAAUUUCUCCAAAUCAGAAAGCAUUUUUAUGGUGGAUUGGGGGGUGGGAGCAGAAAAGAUUAGAGAGUCAAGACAGUUGAUUUUAUUUUCUUUUGCCUUGUUCUGAUGGUCCCUAGGAUGAAAUCUACAUUCUUCUGGAGUCAACAGCAGCAUUUCCAACAGUUUAAGUAGAAUCACAGUUUCGCCCCUAAUAGCAAAUGAUAGGGUUAUUGGUAUAUGGGAUCUUUUUCCUUCUUUCUUGUUUUUGAAGAUUUGUUUUUACUUACACAACGCAGUGUAAUUAACUGUCUAACACAGUGGAUCACAUCGAGUGCCUGAUUUUUCCACCAAAACUCAUGUCUUCAUUUCAAAUGCAUGACAGAAAUUUAAAGACUGGGAACUAAUGUGGAAGGCAAACAUUGCAAGUCAUACUUAACUGUUCUGGAUGAAUGAAUAAGCUUUACAGAGCAAAUGUAAACCAAAACCAACUGAACAUAAAUAAGCUGGUUUCAGCAGUUCCAGCCUCUGUCUAAAUUUAAAAUUCCCUUCAACAAAGUAGAAAAACUCCUAGCUUACAAUUAAAAGAAGAAAAAAAAAUAGUUUGAAAUACAGGAAAGAAAAAAAAUGAAAUAUUUUUAAAAAUGCAAUGGAAAAAUGGAAAGGUGACUAGAUGACAAUUAUCCAAUAGUAUAAACAAUAGCAAAGUGGGAUGCACCAUUCUAAUUGUCAAAAUUACAGCAACUGUGGUAUUUUGACAGAGCUGAAGGCGUCUAAAUGGUGACUGUGACUAUUUCUAGCAAAUUGGAUAAACAAAUCUUAUUACUAUAGCAACAACAGUGCUUUUUUGUAAAGAAAAUCCAGUGCUGCCUGACCCUAUUUCAAGGGCUGUAUCUAAACAUCUGGGACAAUUUUAUUUUUAAGAAUGGUGCAGGGAAAGAGAAGAAACCCAAAUGUCUUGCUACAUACUAAGUUACAUAUAAAUUAUAGGCUGUAAGUCUCAAGGAAAUUAUAGUCAGGAAAAACAUGCCUCUAAUUGGUUUAAUGAUUCUCCAAUAUAACAGAGGUUUAUAAGACAUGUAUUAUAUUUCAAAGAGACUGUAUUUCUAUUUAUGGAAUAAAAUUACAAUAAGGUCUAAAAUUACAAUAGGGACUCAACAAUAUAUUUUAACAUGGAGCAAGCUUAGCAGCUGAACUCCUCCAAUAAAAAAGCACAUCAAGUUUGAUGUAUUACAAAUUAUGCAAAAGUAGUGCAAAGUAAAAAAUCCUUCAUAUUCAUAAUUUUAAUAUUGUUUUAAAGCAAUAAAACAAAAGAUACCUGAUAUGAGGUAUGAUAAAGAAAGUGUUAUAAACAGAAACUUCAAGAAAUCUGGAAGUUCUAAUGGUUCUAUAACCUCAAAAUAAAGAGAAAAGUUUGAAGAUCAGGUGUCAUUCUCAUAAGAAAAAAGUUUUACUUCUUAUUCUACACUAUUACAGUCUUAUUUUCCCAGUUGUGGAAAAAUUAUACAACUCUAGUCUCUUUCAUCUCUUGCUUUUUUUCCUUCCCUUUGGCGUUAAAGUCAUGUGUAUUUUCUUCUAAUAACAUUUGGCUGUACUCAGCUAUUUACAGCAAGUAUAAUCACAAAGAGUUCAUUCAUAUGAGAAACCAAGAGUAUUACAGAUUAUUGCUCAUAUUUUAAAAGUGAAUGGAAAGCAAGAGUUUAGGUCUGUUGUCUCUACUGCUUUUCAUGAAAUAACAGGACUGCUUCUGAUUUAAUUUUAUGCCUAUUUUUAAGUCUGGAAGUACUAGACAGGAUCCAAAUACAUUGGAAAGAUGAUCAGAGCGUUGUGGGUAAGACAGAGGAUAUGAAUGGGCUGUAAGGUGAGCUCUUUGCCACUAAGGCCUUGUCUAUAGGAAAACUUGUACCAUGUAACUUAGUCCAUGAUUCUACAUUGACUAGUACCAGGACCUGUGCAUUAGUGGAUAGUACAAAUUUGAUCUGGAUUACACAAAGCAUAGUCAAGAAAACAUGUACCUCCUUUUUCAUUUGAUUGAAUUAGUAUUUAAACAAUUCUCACUGCUCAGCCUGGAGUAUCAAACAGGCUAGUUUAUUUACUUUUUACUCACUGUGCAAGUGCUACAGUGCUGGCAUAAAAGCAUGAUCACAGUUUUGACAGAUUAGCUAGCAAUCAUGCUGUGCCUAUACUAGCUUUAUGUUAGUUGCUGGAGAACAGAUACCUAAACCAGCAAACCUACCAAAAGAAAAUUUACUCUUCAAAGUUUUCAGGUGGCCUUCAAACCAUCACAAUGAUUUUGUACAGGUUUAGUGCUUUUCAUCAUGGAGGCAAAGGGUUUUGGUCCAGAACUAGGCUUUCAUGACUGACAAAGUAAAUGAAUGACACUUAAAAGAGAAACGGCAUGUUAACAUUAAGAGUACCAGAUUAAUUAAACUAAAUUGUCAGGGCAGAGAGCAAGUAUUUUUAAUGUUUCUGUUUCAGAUAUGCAUGAUUUUAGUUUACCUUUUGUCCUGCAAGCACUUAUAUAUGCACUGAACUACUGGUACAUAAAUAGAACCAGUCUUUUGGGAUCAUGGCCUAAAAUAUAUUAGACUUAAAUAAAACAGAGCAGCAACAAUGACAAAAAUCUUACAAACCUUUCUUUGAAGUAGCCUUUCAUUUUAUUCAGCUUUUUCAUAUAUUAACAUAAAUCAAACCAUAAAUUUCUUCCUGACUUAACUAUAUUUUCAUUCUACCCUGAAAAUAAAUUACUGCUAUUUUAUCCCCUCUAUCUAAUAUUAAGUAAAAAUUUAGUUACAGAUCCCAAGAUAAUUUCAGAGAACUAUAUAAAUUCAUCUUUUUGUAAAUGAAACUACUAUUAAUCAAAAUUAGAAGAUUUCCUUCAAAAACAUCAGAUUAUCACGGCAUGAUUACAUUUGUAUGUAAUUGAUUUCUGUACAUAAUGUCUUUUUGCCAAAUAAAUUACUGAUUGGUUCUCCUACUUCUUCA